rnacentral:rRNA from 1 species
UCUACGGAUGAAAGCGGGGGAUCGCAAGACCUCGUGCUCAUAGAGCGGCCGAUAUCUGAUUAGCUAGUUGGUGAGGUAAAGGCUCACCAAGGCUUCGAUCAGUAGCUGGUCUGAGAGGACGACCAGCCACACUGGGACUGAGACACGGCCCAGACUCCUACGGGAGGCAGCAGUGGGGAAUUUUGGACAAUGGGGGCAACCCUGAUCCAGCAAUGCCGCGUGAGUGAAGAAGGCCUUCGGGUUGUAAAGCUCUUUUGUCAGGGAAGAAACGGGAUUUUCUAAUACAGAGUCCUAAUGACGGUACCUGAAGAAUAAGCACCGGCUAACUACGUGCCAGCAGCCGCGGUAAUACGUAGGGUGCAAGCGUUAAUCGGAAUUACUGGGCGUAAAGCGUGCGCAGGCGGUUAUGUAAGACAGGUGUGAAAUCCCCGGGCUUAACCUGGGAAUGGCAUUUGUGACUGCAUAGCUAGAGUGUGUCAGAGGGGGGUAGAAUUCCACGUGUAGCAGUGAAAUGCGUAGAGAUGUGGAGGAAUACCGAUGGCGAAGGCAGCCCCCUGGGAUAACACUGACGCUCAU